rnacentral:rRNA from 1 species
AUGAACGCUGGCGGCGUGCCUAAUACAUGCAAGUCGCGCGAACGGACGAGAAGCUUGCUUCUCUGAUGUUAGCGGCGGACGGGUGAGUAACACGUUGAUAACCUACCUAUAAGACUGGGAUAACUUCGGGAAACCGUAGCUAAUACCGGAUAAUAUUUUGAACCGCCUGGUUCAAAAGUGAAAGACGGUCUUGCUGUCACUUAUAUAUGGAUCCUCGCUUCAUUAGCUAGUUGGUAAGGUAACGGCUUACCAAGGCAACGAUGCAUAGCCGACCUGAGAGGGUGAUCGGCCACACUGGAACUGAGACACGGUCCAGACUCCUACGGGAGGCAGCAGUAGGGAAUCUUCCACAAUGGGCGAAAGCCUGACGGAGCAACGCCGCGUGAGUGAUGAAGGUCUUCGGAUCGUAAAACUCUGUUAUUAGGGAAGAACAUAUGUGUAAGUAACUGUGCACAUCUUGACGGUACCUAAUCAGAAAGCCACGGCUAACUACGUG